ACAUUGAAACACCAGUUCCCGUAUGAUCACUGAAGUUAUGCAACAUCAAGCCUGGUCAGUAUCUAGAUGGCUGACCACUUGAGAACACCAUGUGCUGUAAG